rnacentral:rRNA from 1 species
AACGAACGCUGGCGGCAUGCCUAACACAUGCAAGUCGAACGAGAUCUUCGGGUCUAGUGGCGCACGGGUGCGUAACGCGUGGGAAUCUGCCCUUUGGUUCGGAAUAACAGUUGGAAACGACUGCUAAUACCGGAUGAUGACGAAAGUCCAAAGAUUUAUCGCCAGAGGAUGAGCCCGCGUAGGAUUAGCUAGUUGGUGUGGUAAAGGCGCACCAAGGCGACGAUCCUUAGCUGGUCGGAGAGGAUGAUCAGCCACACUGGGACUGAGACACGGCCCAGACUCCUACGGGAGGCAGCAGUGGGGAAUAUUGGACAAUGGGCGAAAGCCUGAUCCAGCAAUGCCGCGUGAGUGAUGAAGGCCUUAGGGUUGUAAAGCUCUUUUACCCGGGGUGAUAAUGACAGUACCGGGAGAAUAAGCUCCGGCUAACUCCGUGCCAGCCGCCGCAGUAA